AACGAACGCUGGCGGCAUGCCUAACACAUGCAAGUCGAACGAGACCUUCGGGUCUAUUGGCGCACGGGUGCGUAACGCGUGGGAACCUUCCCUUAUGUUCGGAAUAACUCCCCCAAAGGGGUGCUAAUACCGGAUAAUGUCUUCUGACCAAAGAUUUAUCGCCUUUGGUUGGGCCCGCGUUGGAUUAGCUAGUUGGUAGGGUAAAAGCCUACCAAGGCGACGAUCCAUAGCUGGUCGGAGAGGAUGACCAGCCACACUGGGACUGAGACACGGACCAGACUCCUACGGGAGGGAGCAGUGGAGAAUAUUGGACAAUGGGCGAAAGUGUGAUCCCGCAAUGCGGGGGGAGUGAUGAAGGCCUUAGGGUUGUAAAGCUCUUUUAGACGGGAUGAUAAUGACAGUACCGGGAGAAUAAGCUCCGGCUAACUACGUG
rnacentral:rRNA from 1 species